UAGGGAAUAUUGGACAAUGGGUGAGAGCCUGAUCCAGCCAUGCCGCGUGCAGGAAGAAGGCGUUAUGCGUUGUAAACUGCUUUUUGCCAGGGGAUAAAAUGACCGUGCGCGGUUAAUUGAAGGUACCUGGUGAAUAAGCCACGGCUAACUACGUGCCAGCAGCCGCGGUAAUACGUAGGUGGCAAGCGUUGUCCGGAUUUAUUGGGUUUAAAGGGUGCGUAGGUGGCCCUGUAAGUCAGUGAUGAAAUAUCUCAGCUUAACUGAGAGGGUGCCAUUGAUACUGCAGGGCUUGAGUACAGAUGAGGUAGGCGGAAUUGACGGUGUAGCGGUGAAAUGCGUAGAUAUCGUCAAGAACACCGAUAGCGAAGGCAGCUUACCAAGCUGUAACUGACACUGAGGCACGAAAGUGUGGGGAUCAAACAGGAUUAGAUACCCUCGUAGUCCCUGAGCGGGCUGGCAAGGCGCAU
rnacentral:rRNA from 1 species